GGGCGGAUGGUGAAACUGGUAGACACGCUGGUCUUAGGAACCAGUGGAGUAAAAUCCUUGAGGGUUCGAGUCCCUCUUCGCCCACCA
rnacentral:tRNA from 3 species